ACCUAGUGAUGUGGGCAUUUACGAAGCAGGUCACUAAAACUCUCCCAAGUCUCAAAAAAGGGUUCCCCAUCCAUCUGUGAGAAACUUGUGAUGGCUCUCUGAAACU